rnacentral:rRNA from 1 species
GACGAACGCUGGCGGCGCGCCUAACACAUGCAAGUCGAACGGAGCGCUUGGAUGGAUUCCUUCGGGAUGAAGACUAAGUUGCUUAGUGGCGGACGGGUGAGUAACGCGUGAGUAACCUGCCUUUCUGAGGGGGAUAACGUUUGGAAACGGACGCUAAUACCGCAUAACAUAUUUUUAUCGCAUGGUAGAGAUAUCAAAGGAGCAAUCCGCAGAGAGAUGGACUCGCGUCCAAUUAGCUAGUUGGAGGGGUAACGGCCCACCAAGGCAACGAUUGGUAGCCGGACUGAGAGGUUGAACGGCCACAUUGGGACUGAGACACGGCCCAGACUCCUACGGGAGGCAGCAGUGGGGAAUAUUGCACAAUGGGGGAAACCCUGAUGCAGCGACGCCGCGUGAGGGAAGAAGGUUUUCGGAUUGUAAACCUCUGUCCUCGGUGAAGAUAAUGACGGUAACCGAGGAGGAAGCCACGGCUAACUACGUGCCAGCAGCCGCGGUAACAC